rnacentral:rRNA from 1 species
UGGGGAAUAUUGCACAAUGGAGGGAACUCUGAUGCAGCGACGCCGCAUGAACGAAGAAGGCUUUCGAGUCGUAAAGUUCUUUUAUAUGGGAAGAUAAUGACGGUACCAUAAGAAGAAGCCCCGGCUAACUACGUGCCAGCAGCCGCGGUAAUACGUAGGGGGCUAGCGUUGUCCGGAAUCACUGGGCGUAAAGGGUUCGCAGGCGGAAAUGCAAGUCAGGUGUAAAAGGCAGUAGCUUAACUACUGUAAGCAUUUGAAACUGCAUAUCUUGAGAAGAGUAGAGGUAAGUGGAAUUUUUAGUGUAGCGGUGAAAUGCGUAGAUAUUAAAAAGAAUACCGGUGGCGAAGGCGACUUACUGGGCUCAUUCUGACGCUGAGGAACGAAAGCGUGGGUAGCAAACAGG